GACCGCGAGAUCACGACCUGAGCCGAAGUCGGACGCUGAACUGACUGAGCGGCCUGGGCGCCCGGGAACGUGCAUUCUUGAUUGCUGCCAGCUCUGCAGUAAGCUCGGUGUUAAAGGCUCUGUCGCCGUAAGAGGAGAGCAUUCCAACGGGACCUGCUUGAAAAACCUACCCGAUAUUUGGCAGCCGCAGAAGCUUGUGUUAGGUUCUAUUAUAUAUAAACUUGACAGUGCAUGGAAAAGUCCCGUAUCCCUGAACUGGAAGGAGGGUGUGCUGUGUUUGAAUCAGGGGGACAGUGAAAGCCCCCUCUCAGACCUGCGGACUUAGUCUGGAAGAAGCAUGCACACAUCCACACUGCGCCCACCGCCCCCCCCCCCCCCGCCGGCGCCCCCCGGUCAGCCACGGGGCACAGGGGGAGUUUACAGCUGGACCGCCAGCCACGCUUGAAAGCCGAUUCAACAUUAAGAAUAACCACGGCCUUUUGCCAACACGGUGUGUCAUAUUUAUUGGGCUAUUCACAGGUCAGCUAAAACAGGAGGAAAGGAAAGACCAGAUGACAUCAGUAACGUCAGGAAACAAAAUAUUUAGCAUUUCUUAAGUUUCAAAUUUUGCAUUCCGUUGCAGCUGAGGAAUAUAGGCAAUUCGUUAACAUAACUGCAAUGGGUGUGGUUUAUUCUUAGCGACGAGAAGCACGGCCAUUUAUUCAACCGAAGACUUUUAGAACACUAAGCGAAAAAGGAAAGUAUAUUUUCGUGUAGCUAAGACAAGAAAAUCAUUUAUACAAAUUAAAUUGAUACAAAAUACAUGAUAAAGAGAACACACAUACAAAAGUCAUUAGGUGGGUCAAAGAGCGAGGAUGUCACAGAACGCCACACGGAGAGAACACUGGUGUGAAUUCAUUUCAGUUAUGAAAGUAGGUCCAAAGUUUGAGUGACACGUUUACUGAGGUAAAGGCACGAUCACUUCGACAUAAUUAAUGGGGAAGAAUCCAGAUUCCCCGUGGAGCAUUCCCUCAUACCAAUUUUCAUCUAUCUGAUUGGUUAAUGUAAUGAUGUCUCCUUCUUUAAAUCCUAGUUCUCCUUGGUUCUCUGGCUCAAAAUCAUAGAGACCACGACAGCAGGGCUGGUCCAUGGGAACGUUAGAACCUGUCCACGUCAUACGGAGACAAAAAGUACAGGUUAAUGGGACACAUGAUCUUUGGAGAAGGGGGAAGGUGGAGAGCUGGAGGGGUCAUGAACACCAGGUCGUCUGCCUUCUUCCCCAAAAGGCUGGCUCAGCCCGGCCCACCGAUGCUGCGCUCCUGGGGUCUGUCCCGGCUGCCCCUCACUAGAUGACGCCCUCGCAGACCUCCUGGGCCCACGGCUUCUCCCCUGGGUACCCCCAUCCAGAGGAGUCAGGCCCGGCCUACCUUCCUGAAGCAGCUCCUUGGUUCUGCCUGGAGCCCGAGGGAGACACAGAACUACAAGACCCAACCCCUGCCCUCAGGGAGCUUAUGGUUUCUUUGUGAAGGUCGGACAAUACACGUGCAACAUUUGAAGGACAAAGAUGAGGUGGUGAGUCACUUAUAGCUCAGAAGCUCAGAGAAGGAAGAAGCAGAAAAGGCCUGUGUGGUCGGGACAUCUUCUCGGAGCUGGUGACCGGGACACGGAAUGACGCAGGAUGUGAUGCUGGAGAGAACAGGUAGACUUUUCACAGACCAGCCUGACGUGCUGGGCUGAUUAUAGGAAGUUCUCGGGAUAACGGUUUUCAAAUAGUUAUUUUUUAAUUUCUAAACUAAAACAUGGCAAUGGGAAGAAAGGAAGAAGAAAAGGAAGGAGGGAGGGAGGGAAGGAGGGAGAAGAAUAUGCAAAAUCGAGGAAAGUCAGCUGUAACCCACUAACCCAGAAAUAACCAAUGUGAGAUUUAACGUUUUGGUGGAGAAGCUUCCAGAUGUGUUUAUGAAUAUAUUUGCAUAUGUAUUUACAUAAAUAUGUUCAUGAAAGAACA